rnacentral:tRNA from 1 species
AAAUAAGAAACAAAAUUUGUAAUUAGUUUCGACCUAAUAUUAUGAUGAUAAUUUCAUCCUUAUUUA